rnacentral:rRNA from 1 species
UACAGAGGAGGCAAGCGUUAUCCGGAAUUAUUGGGCGUAAAGCGUCCGCAGGCGGCUUUUCAAGUCUGGGGUCAAAGACUGCAGCUUAACUCCGGGGGGGCGGUGGAAACUGAAAGGCUGGAGUGGGGUAGGGGUUGAGGGAAUUCCCAGUGUAGCGGUGAAAUGCGUAGAUAUUGGGAAGAACACCUGAGGCGAAAGCGCGCAACUGGGCCUUAACUGACGCUGAGGGACGAAAGCUAGGGGAGCGAAAGGG